UUUUUUUUUUUUUUUUUUUUUUUUUUUUACAGAUCUUGCCUGAGUUUAUUUGUAAGAACAGCAUAGGACACUGGUCAUCUGCAAAUAGUGUGCGGGGAGGUGUGUCACAGCAGCCCGUCUGUCUUUACACUGGCAGGAGCCUUUUCUAUGGGGCCUUCACAGGGGCCUGGGCACCUUUGGGGGCCUGAGCACCUUUGGGAGCCUGGGCUGGAGUUGAAGCCUGGGCCUUAGCUGGAGCUUUGGCCCCUGCCUUGGUUUGGACCUUGGGCUUCGGUUGGCAGAGCCUCUGACCCUUGGCCAUGUAGCUUCGAAUCCGCUUCCCAAGCUUAGGGUGAGCGAUAAAAGCCAGCCGCUUGAGUUUGGGGCCUUUUGGCAUCUUGGGCUUGAUGGCCUGAGGCUUCACCAGGGCCUUGAUGGCCUCUGCGUGCACACUCACUGCCUUUGCAUUGCUGGCCUGCAUCUUCUCCAGGCCUUUCUUGUUGUGCUUCUUGGCAAAGCGCAUGUUCCUCAGAAACUUGGGGUCAACCCCCUUAAGAGAUUCGUAUCUUUGCGACCGGGGUUUCUUGAUGCCAUUUCUGUGCCAUUUGCGGGACUGGUUGUGUGUGGUGUGGUUCUUGGACUUGGCCAUGUCUGCACGGUAACCCGCGGCCCCCGCAGCGCCUGAGACCGGAAGAGCUCCUUUGUAUCUUUACUUUUCUUUUUCUUUUUUCUUUUUUGAGACAGGGUUUCUCUGUGUAGCCCUGGCUGUCCUGGAACUCACUCUGUAGACCAAGCUGGUCUUGAUCUCAAAGAUCUGCCUGCCUCUGCCUCCCAAAUACUGGGCUUAAAGGUGUGUGCCACCACUGCUCAGCUCUAAUUUCUGUCUUUUUAAAUUUUUUACUUAAGGGGCUGAAGAGAUGGAUAAGCAGUUAAAAGCACCGGAUGCUUGUCCAGAGGUCCUGAGUUCAGUUCCCAGCAACCCCAUGGUGGCUCAUAACCAUCUGUAAUGGGAUCUGAUGUCUUCCUCUGACAUGCAGGUGUACAUGCAGAUAGAGCACUCAUAUACAUAAAAUAAAUAAGCCUUUAAAUUUUUUUUUUUAGUUAGACAAAUGAUGUAUUAUUAUAAAGUAGAGAAGAGAAGGAAAACAUAAAAAGAAGAAAAAAAAAUCACUCAGUUGGGGUCUUAAAGCAGCCAUGAUUAAUUCUCUCUCUCUCUCUCUCUCUCUCUCUCUCUCUCUCACAUACACACACACACACACACACACACAAGAUGACUCUCUUGAGACAGUGUCUGAUUCUCCUUUAUCUUGACUGGUUGUAAAUCACUAUGUAUUUGAGAUGAGAUGACUAAUGACCUCAGAUUUCUGAGCCUUUUGCCUGGACUUCCUGAGUGCUGGGAUUACAAGCAGGUCCCACCACACCUGGUAUAAGGAGAGCUGGCAGUGUUGCAGGGUAGAGGAAACAGGCUUAGUGUAUGCACUGUACCACCUAAGGUACUCCAGCCUCCUACAUUCCUCUUUCAGACAGGAUCUGGCCUGGAACUUACAGUGUAGACCAGACUGGCCGUGAUUAUAGAGAUCCACCUACCCAGUUUAUAAAGAAUAGAGUAACGGGGAACUUGGAGUGUUGCAGUUAAUUUGGUGAGAUCAUUGUAAGAAGCCAAAGUGAGGCCAGCCAGGGCUGCAUAGUAAGACCGAGUGUUAAG
rnacentral:lncRNA from 1 species